AGUUCACCAAGUGCUGGGAUUAAAGGUGUGUACCACCAUCACCUUUUUUAAAAAAGAUUUAUUUAUUUAUUAUGUAUACAGUGUUCUGCCUGCAUAUAUGCCUACACGCCAGUUCUCAUUAUAGAUGGUUGUUAGCCGCCAUGUGGUUGCUGAGAAUUGAAUUCAGGACCUCUGGAAGAGCAACCAGUACUCUUAACCUGAGUCAUCUCUCCACCCCUACCUGCCACCACAGCUGCUUUUGAAGUAAUAGUCACAGAAGGCUUCUGAGGAGACAUAGCCCCUUGCCUGGGGAUGUAGCUCUGUAGUGCCCAAAUUCUGAAGCCCAAAAUCAUGAAGAAACCCAUUCCAAUGCAAAAGCAAAGAGUCUUUUAUUAUUAACAAGCUAACUGUAUUAUCUCUGUCCAUCCCACACUGUGGGUGCAGUGAGAAAGACCUAGAGGGGCUGAGAGGCAGGGAAUAUAUUGGGGUGAGCAAGGGGAGUGUCUAGAGAUAUGCAACAGUCUCAGGACUGGUACACUUCCAGGCUUGGGUGACCUGUCCUGUGUUGAUUGGUCAACUGGUUGCUAUGGCCAAUAGGCCCUCCCAGGGUGGUUGCUAUGCUCUGCAAGCCACUGCUACACCAUUGUUAUCAUAAGACACAUCCAGAGCCCGGAAAGCACUGGCCGGAGCCUACCAGCUAAUGUCUGAUUGGUUUCUUGCCACGUGGAGGCUUCCUGGUGACUGGGAAAGGUCCAGCAAGAUCAGAAGUGCUGAAUCAGAGGCCUACAUCUUGCUGGGUCUUUUCUGUAGCUGGUCAUGACUGCUAAAGCAGGGGGCUGGGUGAGGGUCUGGUCCCUUCAGCUCAAAGAAACAAACAAACAAACAAAAAAAAAAAAAACCAGCAGUGCUGGGAAGAAGCCCUGUGUAGUUGAUGCACUCGAUGUCACACCGUCUGUGUGCGUUAUUACCAGGAGAGCUGACGUGGAAGAAGUCCAGGUCUUGACGGGAAGAGACUGAAUCUUAGCAACAAUGACUAUCCGGGAAAGUCUACUUGUGGGGAGUCCCUACAAAUGCCACUGCUGUCAAUCUUCAUGAUGCAAGAAGGAAAUCUGGUUCAACAUGACUCAGUAGUCAGUGUUGGUUCAAACUUCCCCAGGGAGUUUAUUUUUGACAUAUUUAUUUAAACACACUACAACUUUGGGGAAAGGUUCCUGGUGGCAAUUAUGGCAAUAAUGUUUAUGGUGUGACUAUAUCAAAACUCUUUUUCAGGGGCUGGAGAGAUGGCUCAGUGGUUUAGAGCAUUGGCUGCUUUUCCAGAGGUUAUGAGUUCAAUUCUCAGCAACCAAAUGAUGGCUCAUAUCCAUCUACAGUGGUAUCUGAUGCCCUCUUCUGACAUAAAAUUGUACAUGCAAAUGCAGCACUCAAACAUAAUACAAAUAAAUUAAUUUUUUAAGUAUAAGCCUAAUAAACC
rnacentral:lncRNA from 1 species